UUAAGCGACUAAGCGUACACGGUGGAUGCCCUGGCAGUCAGAGGCGAUGAAGGACGUGCUAAUCUGCGAUAAGCGUCGGUAAGGUGAUAUGAACCGUUAUAACCGGCGAUUUCCGAAUGGGGAAACCCAGUGUGUUUCGACACACUAUCAUUAACUGAAUCCAUAGGUUAAUGAGGCGAACCGGGGGAACUGAAACAUCUAAGUACCCCGAGGAAAAGAAAUCAACCGAGAUUCCCCCAGUAGCGGCGAGCGAACGGGGAGCAGCCCAGAGCCUGAAUCAGUGUGUGUGUUAGUGGAAGCGUCUGGAAAGGCGCGCGAUACAGGGUGACAGCCCCGUACACAAAAAUGCACAUGCUGUGAGCUCGAUGAGUAGGGCGGGACACGUGGUAUCCUGUCUGAAUAUGGGGGGACCAUCCUCCAAGGCUAAAUACUCCUGACUGACCGAUAGUGAACCAGUACCGUGAGGGAAAGGCGAAAAGAACCCCGGCGAGGGGAGUGAAAAAGAACCUGAAACCGUGUACGUACAAGCAGUGGGAGCACGCUUAGGCGUGUGACUGCGUACCUUUUGUAUAAUGGGUCAGCGACUUAUAUUCUGUAGCAAGGUUAACCGAAUAGGGGAGCCGAAGGGAAACCGAGUCUUAACUGGGCGUUAAGUUGCAGGGUAUAGACCCGAAACCCGGUGAUCUAGCCAUGGGCAGGUUGAAGGUUGGGUAACACUAACUGGAGGACCGAACCGACUAAUGUUGAAAAAUUAGCGGAUGACUUGUGGCUGGGGGUGAAAGGCCAAUCAAACCGGGAGAUAGCUGGUUCUCCCCGAAAGCUAUUUAGGUAGCGCCUCGUGAAUUCAUCUCCGGGGGUAGAGCACUGUUUCGGCAAGGGGGUCAUCCCGACUUACCAACCCGAUGCAAACUGCGAAUACCGGAGAAUGUUAUCACGGGAGACACACGGCGGGUGCUAACGUCCGUCGUGAAGAGGGAAACAACCCAGACCGCCAGCUAAGGUCCCAAAGUCAUGGUUAAGUGGGAAACGAUGUGGGAAGGCCCAGACAGCCAGGAUGUUGGCUUAGAAGCAGCCAUCAUUUAAAGAAAGCGUAAUAGCUCACUGGUCGAGUCGGCCUGCGCGGAAGAUGUAACGGGGCUAAACCAUGCACCGAAGCUGCGGCAGCGACGCUUAUGCGUUGUUGGGUAGGGGAGCGUUCUGUAAGCCUGNNNNNNNGCUGGAGGUAUCAGAAGUGCGAAUGCUGACAUAAGUAACGAUAAAGCGGGUGAAAAGCCCGCUCGCCGGAAGACCAAGGGUUCCUGUCCAACGUUAAUCGGGGCAGGGUGAGUCGACCCCUAAGGCGAGGCCGAAAGGCGUAGUCGAUGGGAAACAGGUUAAUAUUCCUGUACUUGGUGUUACUGCGAAGGGGGGACGGAGAAGGCUAUGUUGGCCGGGCGACGGUUGUCCCGGUUUAAGCGUGUAGGCUGGUUUUCCAGGCAAAUCCGGAAAAUCAAGGCUGAGGCGUGAUGACGAGGCACUACGGUGCUGAAGCAACAAAUGCCCUGCUUCCAGGAAAAGCCUCUAAGCAUCAGGUAACAUCAAAUCGUACCCCAAACCGACACAGGUGGUCAGGUAGAGAAUACCAAGGCGCUUGAGAGAACUCGGGUGAAGGAACUAGGCAAAAUGGUGCCGUAACUUCGGGAGAAGGCACGCUGAUAUGUAGGUGAAGUCCCUCGCGGAUGGAGCUGAAAUCAGUCGAAGAUACCAGCUGGCUGCAACUGUUUAUUAAAAACACAGCACUGUGCAAACACGAAAGUGGACGUAUACGGUGUGACGCCUGCCCGGUGCCGGAAGGUUAAUUGAUGGGGUUAGCGCAAGCGAAGCUCUUGAUCGAAGCCCCGGUAAACGGCGGCCGUAACUAUAACGGUCCUAAGGUAGCGAAAUUCCUUGUCGGGUAAGUUCCGACCUGCACGAAUGGCGUAAUGAUGGCCAGGCUGUCUCCACCCGAGACUCAGUGAAAUUGAACUCGCUGUGAAGAUGCAGUGUACCCGCGGCAAGACGGAAAGACCCCGUGAACCUUUACUAUAGCUUGACACUGAACAUUGAGCCUUGAUGUGUAGGAUAGGUGGGAGGCUUUGAAGUGUGGACGCCAGUCUGCAUGGAGCCGACCUUGAAAUACCACCCUUUAAUGUUUGAUGUUCUAACGUNAUCCGGGUUGCGGACAGUGUCUGGUGGGUAGUUUGACUGGGGCGGUCUCCUCCUAAAGAGUAACGGAGGAGCACGAAGGUUGGCUAAUCCUGGUCGGACAUCAGGAGGUUAGUGCAAUGGCAUAAGCCAGCUUGACUGCGAGCGUGACGGCGCGAGCAGGUGCGAAAGCAGGUCAUAGUGAUCCGGUGGUUCUGAAUGGAAGGGCCAUCGCUCAACGGAUAAAAGGUACUCCGGGGAUAACAGGCUGAUACCGCCCAAGAGUUCAUAUCGACGGCGGUGUUUGGCACCUCGAUGUCGGCUCAUCACAUCCUGGGGCUGAAGUAGGUCCCAAGGGUAUGGCUGUUCGCCAUUUAAAGUGGUACGCGAGCUGGGUUUAGAACGUCGUGAGACAGUUCGGUCCCUAUCUGCCGUGGGCGCUGGAGAACUGAGGGGGGCUGCUCCUAGUACGAGAGGACCGGAGUGGACGCAUCACUGGUGUUCGGGUUGUCAUGCCAAUGGCACUGCCCGGUAGCUAAAUGCGGAAGAGAUAAGUGCUGAAAGCAUCUAAGCACGAAACUUGCCCCGAGAUGAGUUCUCCCUGAC
rnacentral:rRNA from 1 species